AGGGUAAUAGCUCAGUGGUAGAGCACAUGCUUAGCAUGCACAAGGUCCUGGGUUCAAGUCCCAGUUCCUCCA
rfam:Camelus ferus unplaced genomic scaffold scaffold2020, whole genome shotgun sequence.